GGGGUCGACUGGUUUUGACAGCGAGAUUAAUGUGGUGGUAAGCACGCCGAGCUAUGAGGUUAAUGCUCGUUAAUAUCUACUUCACUUUUUUAAACGGCGAUUCUCAAGAAUUUGCCAUGGCUGCAUAAUCCGAACUAUAGUAGGAUAAUGCCUCGGUUCGCAAGGCGAACAAGCUGGCUGUCUCUCAAAAGCCUUGGUUUAUGGCGAUUGAAUUAAAGACACCGUAAAAGUAGACCUAGAAACUGUAGGGUCUUGAUACAGUUUUGAAAUCAAAUUGAGAAUAAGCAGUGCGUUGGUAGUUUUUGGCCGGCAAGCUGACGAAAAUCUAAACAAAAACUAAGCGUGUAGAAAGCUAUUGAAUUACUUGUUUGGACGAGGGUUCGAAUCCCUCCGACUCCACCA
rnacentral:tmRNA from 1 species